rnacentral:lncRNA from 1 species
GCAAUUAUCUUAUCUGAAUGCCGUGAGAUUUUGCAGCCUUCCACAGUGCUUCCAAACAAGCUGAAAUAAGUCAACAAAAAAUGACAAACAUCGUUACUGGACUUCCCACUUUCUACAUCAGCCAUCAGAUCAUGCAUACCUACUUUGCUCUUAUGCUGAAGUAACCAGCACAGUAUGAGUCAUGUCUGAUGAAGAUCCAGAGACUUCUUCCUGAAAUGAUAAAUGAAGUUACUUCUAGGAAGGGGAGUUACUGCAGUGACAGAG